GUCCUAGCCGUAAACGGUGUGUAUUUGCUGUAAAAGGAUUCGACCCCUUUUGUGGCGUAGCUAACGCGUUAAAUACACCGCCUGGGAAGUACGGUCGCAAGAUUAAAACUCAAAGAAAUUGACGGGGGCCUGCACAAGCGGUGGAGUAUGUGGCUCAAUUCGAUGCAACGCGAAGAACCUUACCUGGCCUUGACAUGCAUAUAGUAGAAGGGUGAAAGCCUGACGAGGUAGCAAUACCAGUAUGCACAGGUGCUGCAUGGCUGUCGU
rnacentral:rRNA from 1 species